UACAGAGGUCCCAAGCGUUGUUCGGAUUCAUUGGGCGUAAAGGGUGCGUAGGCGGCGCGGUAAGUCGGGUGUGAAAUCUCGGAGCUCAACUCCAGAACUGCCUUCGAUACUGAGAGUCUCGAGUCCGAGAGAGGUGAGUGGAACUGCGAGUGUAGAGGUGAAAUUCGUAGAUAUUCGCAAGAACACCAGUGGCGAAGGCGGCUCACUGGCUCGGUACUGACGCUGAGACGCGAAAGCGUGGGGAGCAAACAGG
rnacentral:rRNA from 1 species